AGUGGGAUAGCUGGGUCGAAUGGAGGUUCCACUCCAAGUUUUCUGAGGAAUAUUCAUGCUGCUUUCCAGAAUGGUUGCACCAAUUUGCAGUCCCACCAGCAAU
rnacentral:pre_miRNA from 1 species